AUGAGGAGGAGGGAGGGUGCAACAUCACUAGGCAGCAGCACAAGCACCCUGGCAGCACCCUUUGGGGACAUCCCUCCCUUGGCAAGAAAGGAGCCCAAGUCUCGGCCCUUCUCGUCUCCAGCAGCUCGCUGCUUCCCACUGCGCAGCCAGGCAGGAGGCGGCUGUGGCUCGGCGCGGCUCUACUCGGCUGCAGGGGGCUCCCCAGUGCCGUGCUGCUCGGCACCGUAUGGGCUCUCGACUGCAGAACUGCAGGGCAUUCCCCCCACGCAAGACUUCCACGCAGAGAAGCAUCUCCCUUACCCAUACGUAUUCCCGCACUGUGAUUUCCCAAGGAAAGAAGAGGUCGAUAAUGGAAAGCCUACAAUAGCCCCCUCCCUUGCCUUGUCUACAGCCCGCCCGGGGAGAAGAGAGAUUUCAGCUUUCCUGGAAAAGCGCUGUGUGCGCAGAGCUGCAUCCCUGUGUCCGCAGAGCCGUGCUCGUAAUCAGUCUCAGCCACUACAACUUGAUGGCACCCGGCAACUCCGUGCCUUUAUUUAGGCACAACAUCCAUGAUAUGAGGACAUCUCUAAUCAAACACAUCAACCAAGAUAACUUUGUCAAAGACGUUGUUAGAGUCUCUAGUUCCUCAUGCUUCUCUGGAUCUAUGCGCCUAGAAGAUAUAUUCUCAAAAGUAGCUUCAAGAAUGGUUUUAAAGAACCGUGCUACAGUGAAUUUAUCCUGUUUCAGUUCAAUAACAGAUAGCUGUUAUUUGCAUCUCCACUGUACUGGAUGUGGAAACCAGGUGAGUAAUAUUUGUUCCUAACUUUAAUCCACUAGGCCAUAAAACUUCUCAAAAUAGCAAGCACAUUUGCUCUGGGAACCAUGGUCAACAGGCAGAUGACUGGUGCUGUAGCUAAUGACUGUACUAUGUCCUUGACCUUGUUAAUGCUGAGUGUACUGCCUUUUACCACUGCUAGACAAGCCAUGCAAUGCUUAGACAAGAACUACAAGGCAAUUCAGAAUCAAAACCUCUAACUACUGAUACACUGAGAAAGGAUAUCAUUCCCACAAACAAUGCUGAAAGAAAGUGGUAAUUCUGGGAAUAGCAGCACAACACAUAGCAGUAAUUGCAGUGAUAAGGCACUCUGUACUUCUAUGUGAGUAUUUGGGGGGCAGAGGCAGAGCUCACCACUGCUUUCCAACAGAGAAAGCCUAUUUGUGAACAUGUUCAGACCUAUUCAGUCUGCUUUUCUUGUUGUAUAAUUACUGUUUACCUCCCUGAGUUACAUCCUCUUUAAUAGGCAGUAUCAUUACAAUGGCUUUCUCUCAUAUACAGUGAAAGACAGCAAGAAACAAUCACCCAUUGUUUUUAUUAGGAUUAGUUCAGCUCUGGGAGAGCAGCAACACAGCUAUAGUUAUGUUCUCUGCCAGUUCUAUUUAUACACUAUCAAACAGAACACUUUCCCUUGUAGCUUGUCUUCUUUCCAUGUAUUACUGAAUGCCUAAUGCCUAGUGUCUAGACAAUAAGAUCCUAGUACAAAAGUUUUUGACCUUUUGCAUUUUAUAUAUUCUAAAUAAAUAACCAAAUAAAAAUCCUAAUGGAACUGCA
rnacentral:lncRNA from 1 species